UAUUUUUGCAGUUUUACAUUUAUAUUAUGGGUAUAUGAUCUUCAGCUGUAAAUUGUUUUCAAAUUUUUUGUAAUAAGAAUGAAGUUUGUCCGUUAGUUUUUUUCCAUAUCUGAAUUAAUCAGUGUUGGCCGCGUACUAGUUGUCAUAUAUAAAUUUUAGUACUUCUUAUGAUGACAAUACAGCAGUUUACUCAAGGAAUGGAGACGCAUGGAUUCACUUAUCUCACACGUGGGAAAGUAUCAACAUCCUACAUUAAUGGACUGGAGGAGGUCGAGAAUAUUGCAGGUUUAAUGCAGUCUACGUAUAAUAGUUACUCAAAGUAAUUAAAAUUCAAUUGAUAGAAGUGCAUCAAAAAGAUGGUGUCAUGAAACCCUGACCAUUACAUAAAAAGGCAGUACGGCAGAUCACUCAAGUCACGCUGAUACAUGAAUUCACAUUUCUCACGCGUGGGAUAGUAUCAACAGCCUACGUUGCAAAUGGACUAGAAGAUGCUGAGAAUAAUACGUGUUAUAUGCAAUAUGGCACUACGGCAGAUCACACAAGGCAUGCUGAGACAUGGAUUCACAUUUCUCACA